CCUACGGGGGGCAGUAGUGAGGAAUAUUGGUCAAUGGACGAGAGUCUGAACCAGCCAAGUAGCGUGAAGGAUGACUGCCCUAUGGGUUGUAAACUUCUUUUAUAUGGGAAUAAAAUGUUCCACGUGUGGGAUUUUGUAUGUACCAUAUGAAUAAGGAUCGGCUAACUCCGUGCCAGCAGCCGCGGUAAUACGGAGGAUCCGAGCGUUAUCCGGAUUUAUUGGGUUUAAAGGGAGCGUAGGUGGAUUGUUAAGUCAGUUGUGAAAGUUUGCGGCUCAACCGUAAAAUUGCAGUUGAAACUGGCAGUCUUGAGUACAGUAGAGGUGGGCGGAAUUCGUGGUGUAGCGGUGAAAUGCUUAGAUAUCACGAAGAACUCCGAUUGCGAAGGCAGUUCACUGGACUGCAACUGACACUGAGGCUCGAAAGUGUGGGUAUCAAACAGGAUUAUAUACCCUGGUAGUC
rnacentral:rRNA from 1 species